UACAGAGGUCUCAAGCGUUGUUCGGAUUCAUUGGGCGUAAAGGGUGUGUAGGUGGCGCCGUAAGUCGGGUGUGAAAUUUCGGAGCUUAACUCCGAAACUGCAUUCGAUACUGCGGUGCUUGAGGACUGGAGAGGAGACUGGAAUUCAUGGUGUAGCAGUGAAAUGCGUAGAGAUCAUGAGGAAGACCAGUGGCGAAGGCGGGUCUCUGGACAGUUCCUGACACUGAGGCGCGAAGGCCAGGGGAGCAAACGGG
rnacentral:rRNA from 1 species